CCUACGGGUGGCAGCAGUGAGGAAUAUUGGUCAAUGGACGAGAGUCUGAACCAGCCAAGUAGCGUGAAGGAUGACUGCCCUAUGGGUUGUAAACUUCUUUUAUAUGGGAAUAAAAUGUUCCACGUGUGGGAUUUUGUAUGUACCAUAUGAAUAAGGAUCGGCUAACUCCGUGCCAGCAGCCGCGGUAAUACGGAGGAUCCGAGCGUUAUCCGGAUUUAUUGGGUUUAAAGGGAGCGUAGGUGGAUUGUUAAGUCAGUUGUGAAAGUUUGCGGCUCAACCGUAAAAUUGCAGUUGAAACUGGCAGUCUUGAGUACAGUAGAUGUGGGCGGAAUUCGUGGUGUAGCGGUGAAAUGCUUAGAUAUCACGAAGAACUCCGAUUGCGAAGGCAGUUCACUGGACUGCAACUGACACUGAGGCUCGAAAGUGUGGGUAUCAAACAGGAUUAGAUACCCGAGUAGUC
rnacentral:rRNA from 1 species